GGUAAAUAAGAUUUAGUUAUUAUAAUUAUAGGUGAUAGAAAAUAAUUUUUUCCUACAAAAAAUAACUCAUUUAACUAUUAAUUUAAGGAUUUGGUGUACCAAUACACUUAAAUUGUUGGGUGUACCAUAGAACUUGCCAAGUACUAAAUAUCGUGAAAAUUAAAAUAUCCAUGUGGCUGUGUUAGUGCCUUCAUAAGAAUUUUAACAAUAUAUAAAUUAAUGUUGCAAACGGCAAAUAUAUAUAUAGGACUUAAGCUUGAGAAAUAAAUGAACAGAGCCUAAACUUUGAACAUCUCUGUUUGAUACGAAUUAAAAAUGUAUUUAACACCUUCUACCAAAAUAUCCUUGAACUUUAGCAGUACUGGUCUGGUACCAGGAAGGUUCCACUUUUGGUCUGACUUCUUAGGAAUUCAUAAUUGUUUACAAGAUUUGCGGCAAAAUUGAUUAUAAAAUUGCACCUACUACUUGGGAACUUCAGUUUGCUAAUUUUCUGAUCUAAUCCAACAUGAUUUUUGCUGUAUACGAGUAUAAAUAUAUAUGUUAGGGUUAAUACUUUUGUUUUGGAUUAAGGUAAAUAAGUUGUUGGUCCAUCUAAAUAUCUCAACUUUCAUUUAGUUUCUCUAUAAACAUGCUCUCAAGUGGUCUCUUUGUUAGAGGUUAAUGACCUCAACCUGGUCUUUGGUUUAAGGUUGGGUAACUUGAGAAAUAAAAAAACAUAAAAUUUAGUUUCUUUCAAAAACUAAAUUAGUCUCCAUUGUUAGUUCUUCUUAAUGGACACCGGCAUGUAUUUUUUGAAGGAAGACACCGG
rnacentral:lncRNA from 1 species